rnacentral:rRNA from 1 species
GACGCACGCUGGCGGCGUGCUUAACACAUGCGAGUCGAACGGAAAGGCCCUGCUUUUGUGGGGUGCUCGAGUGGCGAACGGGUGAGUAACACGUGAGUAACCUGCCCUUGACUUUGGGAUAACUUCAGGAAACUGGGGCUAAUACCGGAUAGGAGCUCCUGCUGCAUGGUGGGGGUUGGAAAGUUUCGGCGGUUGGGGAUGGACUCGCGGCUUAUCAGCUUGUUGGUGGGGUAGUGGCUUACCAAGGCUUUGACGGGUAGCCGGCCUGAGAGGGUGACCGGCCACAUUGGGACUGAGAUACGGCCCAGACUCCUACGGGAGGCAGCAGUGGGGAAUAUUGCACAAUGGGCGGAAGCCUGAUGCAGCAACGCCGCGUGCGGGAUGACGGCCUUCGGGUUGUAAACCGCUUUCGCCUGUGACGAAGCGUGAGUGACGGUAAUGGGUAAAGAAGCACCGGCUAACUACGUG